rnacentral:rRNA from 1 species
CCUACGGGGGGCAGCAGUGGGGAAUAGUGGGCAAUGGGCGCAAGCCUGACCCAGCAAUGCCGCGUGAAGGAAGAAGGCUUUCGGGUGGUAAACUUCUUUGAGAGGGGAAGAGCAGAAGACGGUACCCGGAAAACAAGCCACGGCUAACUACGUGCCAGCAGCCGCGGUAAGACGGAGGUGGCAAGCGUUGUCCUGAUUUACGGGGUGUACAGGGCGGGUAGCCGGGACUGCAAGUCAGAUGUUAAAUCCGGAGGCUCAACCGCCGACUUGCAUUUGAAACUGUUUUUCUUGGGUACUGGAGAGGCAGCCGCCAUUCCUUGUGUAGCGGUGAAAUGCGUAGAUAUUAGGAGGCACACCAGUGGCGCAGGCGGUCUGCUGGACAGCACCUGACGGUGAGGCGCGACAGCGUGGGGAGCACACAGGAUUAGAUACCCCUGUAGUC